rnacentral:tRNA from 2 species
UGGAGCUUCGUCCAAUGGUAGGGCACCUGUCUUAUACGCAGCUUAUGCGGGUUCAAUUCCCGCAGCUCCGA